UGAACCCUUUUCCUCUAAGCAUAAAACCUCCUUCCUUAUUUAAUCAAUUCCAUUAUGCUCCUCAUUUCUUCCAAAUUUUCUUCAUAUUUUUGACAAAUUGUCAUAGUCAUUAAUCUAAUAUAUGUCAUAUAUAAAAUAAAAUGGAAGGAGUCUCUCAUUUUCAACUAUCCGUGACUUAUCUUGUCAUACUUCUUCUAUCGACAGGUGAACACUACUAUACGCAUGGAAAGACUAGUAUGCAUAUUAUUGAGUUGCAGGAAUCGGAGCCUCGUGGCUCUGAAGUCGAUUGAGACGAGACCAUGAUUGGCGUUUGAACAAUACAAGUUUCCGAGUUCCCCUUCUAAACUUCAAAUUUCCCGAUUUCAUGAUUGCUUCCGAUGUGAGAAACCAUUUGAUCAAUAUUAUAGAGUAUAUACAAAAUGUACCUUUCAAGUUGAUACUAAACUGAUGAGACCCCUUUGUGAAAAAAAGACAGGGUCUCUUUCAUGGUUUCGUUUUUAUUUCAAUAAUUUAUCCAUCAUACAUUCUUAUAUAUUAGUAAGACAAUAUUGUUAGAUUGUUUUGUA